GAUCCUAUAGCUCAGUUGGUUAGAGCGUGUGACUGUUAAGUUUCUGCUGUUCAGUUGCAUCACAAGGUCGCUGGUUCGAACCCAGCUAGGAUCG